UGGGGAAUAUUGCACAAUGGGCGAAAGCCUGAUGCAGCGACGCCGCGUGAGGGACGAAGGUCUUCGGAUUGUAAACCUCUUUCAGCAGGGACGAAGCGAAAGUGACUGUACCUGCAGAAGAAGCACCGGCUAACUACGUGCCAGCAGCCGCGGUAAUACGUAGGGUGCAAGCGUUGUCCGGAUUUAUUGGGCGUAAAGAGCUCGUAGGCGGUUCGUCACGUCGGAUGUGAAAACCUGGGGCUUAACCCCGGGCCUGCAUACGAUACGGGCGAACUAGAGUUCGGUAGGGGAUACUGGAAUUCCUGGUGUAGCGGUGAAAUGCGCAGAUAUCAGGAGGAACACCGGUGGCGAAGGCGGGUCUCUGGGCCGAUACUGACGCUGAGGAGCGAAAGCGUGGGGAGCAAACA
rnacentral:rRNA from 1 species